rnacentral:rRNA from 1 species
AGAAAGAGGAGGAAGCAUGAAGCAAUAACAGGUCUGUGAUGCCCUUAGACAUCUUGGGCUGCACGCGUGCUACAAUGGAAUUUAUAGAGAGUAAUUUGAAGUAAAAUGAAGGUUUAAUAUAUUUAUAUAUUAGAUAUGGAAUUUUAUUUUUACCUAUUUUGAAAAAAGGAGGAAAUCUUUUAAAAGGUGUACAUGACUGGGA